CCUACGGGUCGCACCAGUGGGGAAUAUUGCACAAUGGGCGGAAGCCUGAUGCAGCGACGCCGCGUGGGGGAUGACGGCCUUCGGGUUGUAAACUCCUUUCGACAGGGACGAAGCUUUUUGUGACGGUACCUGUAUAAGAAGCACCGGCUAACUACGUGCCAGCAGCCGCGGUAAUACGUAGGGUGCGAGCGUUGUCCGGAAUUACUGGGCGUAAAGAGCUCGUAGGUGGUUUGUCGCGUCGUCUGUGAAAUUCCGGGGCUUAACUCCGGGCGUGCAGGCGAUGCGGGCAUAACUUGAGUGCUGUAGGGGAGACUGGAAUUCCUGGUGUAGCGGUGAAAUGCGCAGAUAUCAGGAGGAACACCGAUGGCGAAGGCAGGUCUCUGGGCAGUAACUGACGCUGAGGAGCGAAAGCGUGGGGAGCGAACAGGAUUAGAUACCCUGGUAGUC
rnacentral:rRNA from 1 species